rnacentral:rRNA from 1 species
UUUACGUAGUCCUGCUCAGGAUGACGCUGCGGCGUGCUAACACACUGGCAAGUACGAACGAAGACGAUGUAUGGAACGUUACUUCGUAGGAGGGAAAGUACAUGACUGAGUGGCGGACGGGUGAGUACGCGUGGGUAACCUGCCGUAUACAGGGGGAUAACAGCCAGAAAUGGCUGCUAAUACCGCAUAAGCGCACAGCACCGCAUGGUGCAGUGUGAAAAACUCCGGUGGUAUACGAUGGACCCGCGUCUGAUUAGCUAGUUGAGGGGUAAAGCCCACCAAGGCGACGAUCAGUAGCCGGCCUGAGAGGGUGGACGGCCACAUUGGGACUGAGACACGGCCCAAACUCCUACGGGAGGCAGCAGUGGGGAAUAUUGCACAAUGGGGGAAACCCUGAUGCAGCGACGCCGCGUGAAGGAAGAAGUAUCUCGGUAUGUAAACUUCUAUCAGCAGGGAAGAAAAUGACGGUACCUGACUAAGAAGCUCUGGCUAAAUACGUG